GGACUACAGGGGUAUCUAAUCCUGUUUGCUCCCCUUGCUCUCGCGCCUCAGCGUCUGGUAUAAGCUAGAAAACCGCUUUCGCCACAGGUGUUCUUCCACAUAUCUACGCAUUUCACCGCUACACGUGGAAUUCCGUUCUCUCCGCCAAUCCUCAAGGUAUAUAGUUUCAAAUGCAGCUCCGAAUUUGAGCCCCGGAAUUUCACAUCUGACUUUUAUUCCCGCCUACGCGCCCUUUACGCCCAAUAAUUCCGAUUAAUGCUUGCACCCUCCGUAUUACCGCGGCUGCUGGCAC
rnacentral:rRNA from 1 species